AGACCAGGAUGUGGACAUUUCCUUAACAACUCCGUGUACCUCUCCCAUGCUUCAUAUAAUGACUUAUCAUCACCUUGCACAAAAGAGGUAAUGUUGUUCCUUAUCUU